rnacentral:rRNA from 1 species
UACGAAGGGGGCUAGCGUUGCUCGGAAUCACUGGGCGUAAAGCGCGCGUAGGCGGAUCGUUAAGUCGGGGGUGAAAUCCUGGAGCUCAACUCCAGAACUGCCUUUGAUACUGGCGAUCUUGAGUCCGGGAGAGGUGAGUGGAACUCCGAGUGUAGAGGUGAAAUUCGUAGAUAUUGGGAAGAACACCGGUGGCGAAGGCGGCUCACUGGCUCGUAACUGACGCUCAGGCGCGAUAGCGUGGGGAUCAAACAGG